AUUGAACGCUGGCGGCAGGCUUAACACAUGCAAGUCGAGCGGUAGCACAAGAGAGCUUGCUCUCUGGGUGACGAGCGGCGGACGGGUGAGUAAUGUCUGGGAAACUGCCUGAUGGAGGGGGAUAACUACUGGAAACGGUAGCUAAUACCGCAUAACGUCGCAAGACCAAAGAGGGGGACCUUCGGGCCUCUUGCCCUCAGAUGUGCCCAGAUGGGAUUAGCUAGUAGGUGGGGUAAUGGCUCACCUAGGCGACGAUCCCUAGCUGGUCUGAGAGGAUGACCAGCCACACUGGAACUGAGACACGGUCCAGACUCCUACGGGAGGCAGCAGUGGGGAAUAUUGCACAAUGGGCGCAAGCCUGAUGCAGCCAUGCCGCGUGUGUGAAGAAGGCCUUCGGGUUGUAAAGCACUUUCGGCGGGGAGGAAGGUGGUGAACUUAAUACGUUCAUCAAUUGACGUUACUCGCAGAAGAAGCACCGGCUAACUCCGUG
rnacentral:rRNA from 1 species